rnacentral:rRNA from 1 species
UACGUAGGGGGCGAGCGUUGUCCGAAGUUACUGGGCGUAAAGCGCGCGUAGGCGGUCUCUUAAGUCCGGGGUGAAAGGUUCAGCGCUCAACGCGAACAGUGCCCUGGAGACUGGGGGACUUGAGUGUGGGAGGGGGCAGUGGAAUUCCGGGUGUAGCGGUGAAAUGCGUAGAUAUCCGGAGGAACACCGAUGGCGAAGGCAGCUGCCUGGCCUGACACUGACGCUGAGGUGCGAAAGCGUGGGGAUCAAACAGG